ncrna:Levilactobacillus namurensis str. Chizuka 01 L31-Firmicutes ribosomal protein leader
CUCUGAAGCAGUCAAUGUUUCAGGGCAAAAGGAG